GUUUAAUUGGAAUCCAUAACAGCGCAUAUAUAUACAUACGAUUUCUCUCAUGCUUACUAGUUUACCACACGUAUUGUCACAGUCAAGCAUUCAGAUAGAGACAUACACGCAGAGGGAGAGGGUGAGUGAUCACAAGGAGUAUUGUCAAACCGUGGCCUCCAUAACUAUACAUUCAAAAAGAUGUCUACACGAAAUAUACCACUUUUGCUGGUAAUUUGUAUGAUCAUGUCGACCGUCUACGUUGAUUCAAUUCUGGUCGCCAUUUCGCCGAAAAUGAGGAGACAAAAAGCUGGAAAAACAAAAGGUUUAACACUCAAAAUAAAACCGACUGUACGAAAUGCAAUUGCAGACAUGCUAAAGAGAAACGUUCAAGGAAGUAAAAAAUACGAAGAUGAGCUGUUGGCUUUAAUUACAGGAAAGAAGAAAAAACGAUCAUUGAGAUGGAGAAUUCAAUUCAAAAGAACACAAAGAUUGACAUUCGGCAAGCAAUUAUUCAAGUGAAAAAAAUCGAUUCAUGAAAUAGUAAACGCAAGGACGAGAGUUGCUGGCAAACUCGAAGUGAAAAACACAUCCUAACGUAAAAAUAAAUCAAAUUUAUUUUAGAGAAAUGUAUGAAUAUUUAUUGCAGUUAUUUAUAUUUUGUAACAUAUUACGUUUUCAUAUAAGAAAGUGCAAAGUGAAACAA